UAUGGCCAUAUAGCAUUGAAACACCAAUUCUCUUAUGAUCACCGAAGUUGUUAAGCAAUGUCGAACCUGAUCAGUACCAAGAUGAGUGACUGUUUGGGAAUACCAGGUAUUGUAAG